rnacentral:rRNA from 1 species
UACGUAGGUGGCGAGCGUUGUCCGGAUUUACUGGGCGUAAAGGGAGCGUAGGCGGGCUUUUAAGUGAGAUGUGAAAUACUCGGGCUCAACUUGAGUGCUGCAUUUCAAACUGGAAGUCUAGAGUGCAGGAGAGGAGAAUGGAAUUCCUAGUGUAGCGGUGAAAUGCGUAGAGAUUAGGAAGAACACCAGUGGCGAAGGCGAUUCUCUGGGCUGUAACUGACGCUGAGGCUCGAAAGCGUGGGGAGCAAACAGG